UUCCACAACCAUAUCACCCUGCAGCCCAAGACCUACUCACUGAAGCUAAGCAGGGCUGAGGCCGGUCAGUACCUGAAUUGGAGACCACAUGGGAAAACUAGGUUGAUGUUGGAA
rnacentral:rRNA from 1 species